GGAGAAGUAUGGUCACAGGGAUAUAGCUUAUUACAAGCAUCCGCGAAAAUAGGUGGAGAUAUCCUCCAAGAUAGUAAAUGCAAAUCAACAUCAUGCAUGUUGUUUGACACUUUAUGGAUAUUAAAAAUCCAAAGCCUAUGAAUGUUUAGCAUUCAAAAGCCCAUUAUAUGUGCACAUAAAUUUAGGCAUUGGGUCAUUGGAAUACCCUAGCUCUAUCAUCAUGGGAAAUAAGAUAAGAGUUCC
rnacentral:lncRNA from 1 species